CAUACCCCUUGGCUCCUCCACUCUUCUUCCUGUUGUCGUCUUCUUCGGUAGAGGCACGAGCCUCUCGUGCUCGCCUUUCCCCGGUCGCUGUCUCCCCCACAACCACUCCCUCCACCUCUCUUUUAAUCCCCAUCCGAGCCACAGAAACCCUAGUGUUUCUCCUCCCUCGCGCCGCCGCCUCCCAUCUCUCCUCUUGUUUUGUUUCAUCUUCUCUGUGACCAACGAAGAACACUGCCACCAUCCUCCCCGCCAUGGCGCCGCCGCUACAGACCGCCCCUCGCCGAGCUAAAACCACCGUUAGAUGCGCCUCAUCGUUCUCUUCGUCUGGGUAUAAGGAAUCGAGCCGGGAGCCCUCUAAUCAAGCGCACGGUCGCCGAUUCUCCGCGCCGGUCGGUGUGCUUCUUCUUCGAUUCCGGCCGCCCUCGUCCUCCUCUGGCCAAACCGAGCUUACCUCCGGCUGUUCCGUGACCAGGCGCACCCUCGACGCUCUCGCGCUCGUCCUGUUUCGCACGCAGCCGUCAAGUUCUUCUUCAACCAGGGCCUCCGCCAUGAACGCCAUGCCUGAGCUCUGCCUCCGCUUGGUUCAACUUGCUCCGCACCUUCCUUUUGACACGAACCUAACACCAGCUCAAUGAUCUAGCGCAGAGAGAAGCUUCUUUUUGCUUAGGGCCUCUCCAAUUUCAACAUCAGCAAGCAGCCUAGCUGAUCUGGCAGCACCGACGGGCCUCGGCCCAGAUCCUCCGUCCCUGAUCAACGCCCAGUGCGGCCCAGCCCAAUCUCACGCCAAAGCUGACCAGUUCCGGCCCAGGACAGCGCAGCAUUUGCUUCUUCCCGGAUAGGAUCACGAAGUGGUGCAGUGAGAUACGCCAAGUUCUCCGGAUGUCCCUCGGCAAGCUUUAACAGGCAAGCAUUUCCCUUAUACUCCUGCCCCUGCAGAAGUCGCUCACCUAUUUUAUUUUGCCUUCUCCCUCAUGCUAUCCUUAAGUUGCGUUCUUGUCACGUGUCCUUUCCACUUGUUACCUCAAGCAGCCCAUAUUGCCACCACCACCUCCUACGGCUAUUGUUUGGUUAUCGAGUCUGCCCUUGCGAGUCGUAGUGCAUGCUAGUGCUGUUUUAUCUCGUUACCUUUAUUGUUAUCUUAUCGGGUUAUAUGUUGGGAAGAAUCAUGGUUACUUUAGUUGUUGAUAAUUGUUUAGCGGAGGCAUCGGUGGGUCAGCUGCUCGUUUUGUGACGGCUCACUUGUGUUUUCUAAAUAUCUUAGGACCCCGAGUUCUUGUUAUCUGUUCCGAGACUGAGCGCUCUAACCACACGUGGGUAUGCUUACCGGGUCUCCCCUCGACCACUGCUGGAAUCUACAUCUUUGUCCAGUGGCCACAACUAGUUUGAAGGUUUUGUUUCUCCCGGGCGUGCAAGCUUGUUUCUUUGUGGUCAGAUGAUAUGAUGUUAGUUUUGGGGAAGCUAUGUGCCUUGUAACCCCGUUGUCUCUUGCACGCUCGUAGGAUGCGGUGCCACUGCGAAGUGGUCAUCCCGCUGGGCACUGUCCACCUAGCACGCAGUCGCAAUAGCUGAGUCCGCUUCGGAGCACGGCCGGACUCUGAUACGGGUUUAACUUAGUUAGGUGGCUUCCUGGACAUUGUUGUAGUGAAGGAGAGUGCGUGUCGUGAUAUCCACCUGUCGUAAGUGGGUUGAGCGUGCGUGUGGGCACAUUUGGGCACCCCUGCAGGGUUACAAUCUUAUCGAUAAGCCGCGUCCGCGGUUAUGGACGACUUGGAGCUGUAUGACUUGACCAUAGACAACUUACACAUGUUGUUUCAAUCAUAAUAACUUGUGUAGUAAGUUAGCACAACUUCAAUAAUAAAUGGUUAAAACUUGACAACCGUGUGGGUGCCUUUGUAAGUACUUCUUUGCGAAGGGGGAAAGUAUCGGCUGUGUUAUGUUUGCAGAGUAUAGAACUGUUAGUUGUGCGCUCUCUCACCUUCUCUGAUUAGACGAAUGUUGUAGAGUGUCUCUAUAGGUUUUUAGUGCUUGCGCGCUGCCGCUUAACCCCACCAUAUUGCCUAUGACGUUCCUCUUGCGUCCUCUAAGUCCCCUGCGUGCCUCAAGUACAAAGGACGACUGGUUGACGAAUGCUUAUACGUCUUGAAGUCUUGUUAAGUACGAACCCGUACUUAUUGCUGCUUCUACGGGAUAUAACCGGGCAGGUAUGAAGAUAUGUUCGAUGAAGACGACGUUAGCAAGGUUACCCUUCCGGCUUGGCCUGGGCAGGGUUAUGGACGCCAUCGUUUAUCUUCAGGACUCUUAGUCCAAUUUGUAUCUUGUCCGUACUCGGACGUAUUCGAUCUUCUGUAUGAUUUGGAUCUUUGUAUUGUAUAUUUGUAUCUUGACUCGUGGAGUCGUUGUUGUAAUAUAUGUUCUUGUGGGCUCUAUUGUAAACCUGUUGUAAUGUUACUACUCGUGGUAAUUCCUCUGGCAUCACGUGUGCUUUGUCGCGCACGUCGUGUCGGAGGGCGUGUCGGAAUCGAUAUCGUGCGGAUUUCGGCGGGUUCGCUGGGAUCCUCAGGGUACCGGUUCCGGGGCGUCACACAC